rnacentral:rRNA from 1 species
ACACUCCUGCGGGAGGCAGCAGUGGGGAAUAUUGGACAAUGGGCGCAAGCCUGAUCCAGCCAUGCCGCGUGAGUGGUGAAGGCCCUAGGGUUGUAAAGCUCUUUCACCGGUGAAGAUAAUGACGGUAACCGGAGAAGAAGCCCCGACUAACUUCGUGCCAGCAGCCGCGGUAAUACGAAGGGGGCUAGCGUUGUUCGGAUUUACUGGGCGUAAAGCGCACGUAGGCGGACUAUUAAGUCAGGGGUGAAAUCCCGGGGCUCAACCCCGGAACUGCCUUUGAUACUGGUAGUCUUGAGUUCGAGAGAGGUGAGUGGAAUUCCGAGUGUAGAGGUGAAAUUCGUAGAUAUUCGGAGGAACACCAGUGGCGAAGGCGGCUCACUGGCUCGAUACUGACGCUGAGGUGCGAAAGCGUGGGGAGCAAACAGGAUUAGAAACCCUUGUAGUCCCAUGAU